rnacentral:rRNA from 1 species
GUAGGUGGCAAGCGUUGUCCGGAAUUAUUGGGCGUAAAGCGCGCGCAGGCGGUCCUUUAAGUCUGAUGUGAAAGCCCACGGCUCAGCCGUGGAGGGUCAUUGGAAACUGGGGGACUCGAGUACAGAAGAGGAAAGCGGAAUUCCAAGUGUAGCGGUGAAAUGCGUAGAGAUUUGGAGGAACACCAGUGGCGAAGGCGGCUUUCUGGUCUGUAACUGACGCUGAGGCGCGAAAGCGUGGGGAGCAAACAGGGAUUAGAUACCCUGGUAGUCCACGCCGUAAACGAUGAGUGCUAAGUGUUAGGGGGUUUCCCGCCCCCUUAGUGCUGCAGCUAACGCAUUAAGCACUCCGCCUGGGGAGUACGGCCGCAAGGCUG